CAGCAGCAGCCGCGGUAAUACGAAGGGUGCAAGCGUUAAUCGGAAUUACUGGGCGUAAAGCGCACGCAGGCGGUCUGACAAGUCAGAUGUGAAAUCCCCGGGCUUAACCUGGGAACUGCAUUUGAAACUGUCAGGCUGGAGUCUUGUAGAGGGGGGUAGAAUUCCAGGUGUAGCGGUGAAAUGCGUAGAGAUCUGGAGGAAUACCGGUGGCGAAGGCGGCCCCCUGGACAAAGACUGACGCUCAGGUGCGAAAGCGUGGGGAGCAAACAGGAUUAGAGACCCGAGUAGUCCCUGUCUCUUAUAC
rnacentral:rRNA from 1 species